GGAUGGAUGUCUGAGUGGUUGAAAGAGUCGGUCUUGAAAACCGAAGUAUUUUUUGAAAUACCGGGGGUUUGAAUCCCUCUCCAUCCG
rfam:Capsicum annuum cultivar Zunla-1 chromosome 12, whole genome shotgun sequence